rnacentral:pre_miRNA from 2 species
AUGGCACUGGUAGAAUUCACUGUGAAAGCACACUAUCAGUGAAUUACCAAAGGGCCAUA